rnacentral:misc_RNA from 1 species
AUCAUUUAGAGGAAGGAGAAGUCGUAACAAGGUUUCCGUAGGUGAACCUGCGGAAGGAUCAUUGCUGUAACCCGCAACAGCAGAACGACCGGCGAACUUGUGAAAACAGACCGGGGUGCCCCGCGCGCCUCAACGCCGGGACGCGCUCGUAACGGUCGCGAUCCCGGCACGACAACGAACCCCGGCACGAGCUGUGCCAAGGAAAAUUGACGAAGACAGAGUCCCCUGUCGCCCCGUUUUGCGGUCGCGCGCUCGGGACGGAGCUUCUUUCACGAAACACGACUCUCGGCAACGGAUAUCUCGGCUCUCGCAUCGAUGAAGAACGUAGCGAAAUGCGAUACUUGGUGUGAAUUGCAGAAUCCCGUGAACCAUCGAGUCUUUGAACGCAAGUUGCGCUCGAAGCCAUUAGGCCGAAGGCACGUCUGCCUGGGCGUCUCGCAACGCGUCGCCCCCAACCCCGCGCGCAAGGGCUCGCAGUUGGGGGCGGACGAUGGCCUCCUGCGCGCAAAGGCUCGCAGUUGGCCUAAAAGCGGAGUUCCCGACAGUGGAUCGUCACGGCACGUGGUGGUUGAAAGACCCCGUCGCGUUUCGUCGCCGGCGUACCCACUGACGGGCGAAGCCACGACCCCCGCGCGUCGCCCUUCGACGGCGCAUCGACAGCGACCCCAGGUCAGGCG